rnacentral:rRNA from 1 species
GCGGUGAAAUGCAUAGAGAUCACACAGAAUACCGAUUGCGAAGGCAGAUUACUAACAAUAUACUGACGCUGAGGGACGAAAGCGUGGGUAGCGAACAGGAUUAGAUACCCUGGUAGUCCACGCCGUAAACGAUGGAUACUAGCUGUUCGACCAACAUUGGUUGGUUGAGUGGCUAAGCGAAAGUGAUAAGUAUCCCACCUGGGGAGUACGGUCGCAAGACUGAAACUCAAAGGAAUUGACGGGGGCCCGCACAAGCGGUGGAGCAUGUGGUUUAAUUCGAUGAUACGCGAGGAACCUUACCAGGGCUUAAAUGUAAGUUGCAUAGAUCAGAGAUGGUCUUUUCUUCGGACUACUUACAAGGUGCUGCAUGGUUGUCGUCAGCUCGUGCCGUGAGGUGUCAGGUUAAGUCCUAUAACGAGCGCAACCCCUGUCGUUAGUUGCCAGCAAGUUAAGUUGGGCACUCUAGCGAGACUGCCAGUGCAAACUGUGAGGAAGGUGGGGAUGACGUCAAAUCAUCACGGCCCUUACGUCCUGGGCUACACACGUGCUACAAUGGCCGGUACAGAGAGCAGCCACUACGCGAGUAGGAGCGAAUCUACAAAACCGGUCUCAGUUCGGAUCGCAGUCUGCAACUCGACUGCGUGAAGCUGGAAUCGCUAGUAAUCGGAUAUCAGCCAUGAUCCGGUGAAUACGUUCCCGGGCCUUGUACACACCGCCCGUCAAGCCAUGGAAGCUGGGGGUACCUGAAGUCGGUGACCGAAAGGAGCUGCCUAGGGUAAAACUGGUAACUGGGGCUAAGUCGUAACAAGGUAGCCGUACCGGAAGGUGCGGCUGGAACACCUCCUUU